UUCGAUAAACAUCAACUCACCUCGAACGCUCGUCCAACGUCGGCUAGAAGUCGAUAGGAGAAAUCCCGCACGCUCGCUCGACCUCCAACAGCUCAAUCGAGAGACCCACGCGCACGAACGGUCCUCCGAAAAAAAACGACAAAUCCGAACGAGCUCGAUCCUCAAAUCCCCAACGCACGAUGUAUACCAACUAGAGAGAAAGAAGAAGGA
rnacentral:lncRNA from 1 species